UACGUAGGUGGCAAGCGUUGUCCGGAUUUACUGGGCGUAAAGGGAGCGUAGGUGGAUAUUUAAGUGGGAUGUGAAAUACUCGGGCUUAACCUGGGUGCUGCAUUCCAAACUGAAUAUCUAGAGUGCAGGAGAGGAAAGUAGAAUUCCUAGUGUAGCGGUGAAAUGCGUAGAGAUUAGGAAGAAUACCAGUGGCGAAGGCGACUUUCUGGACUGUAACUGACACUGAGGCUCGAAAGCGUGGGGAGCAAACAGGAUUAGAAC
rnacentral:rRNA from 1 species